rnacentral:rRNA from 1 species
GACGAACGCUGGCGGCGUGCUUAACACAUGCAAGUCGAACGGAAAGGCCCCCACCUUGGUGGGGGUGCUCGAGUGGCGCACGGGUGAGUAACACGUGGGUGAUCUGCCCUGUACUUCGGGAUAAGCUUGGGAAACUGGGUCUAAUACCGGAUAGGACCAUGGUUUAGUGUCUCAUGGUGGAAAAAUUAUUGUUUUGGUGCAGGAUGAGCUCGCGGCCUAUCAGCUUGUUGGUGGGGUAAUGGCCUACCAAGGCGUCGACGGGUAGCCGGCCUGAGAGGGUGGACGGCCACAUUGGGACUGAGAUACGGCCCAGACACCUACGGGAGGAAGCAGUGGGGAAUAUUGCACAAUGGGCGCAAGCCUGAUGCAGCGACGCCGCGUGGGGGAUGACGGCCUUCGGGUUGUAAACUCCUUUCGUUAGGGACGAAGCCACACCUUUUUUGGGUGUGGUGACGGUACCUUUGUGAAGAAGCACCGGCUAACUACGUG